AUAUGAUUUGAAUGAUUAACUUUUAUGACUUCAAAAGAAAGCAAAGUAGUUACCCUUACCAAAAAGAAAAAAACCCUCUAUAUUAAGUUAUUAACCCCACUCCACAACACUACUAUACUAUACACACACCACAAGACAAAGACCCAAAAAAAUGGUGAAACAAUUCACUCAUCAACAGAACAGAAGAAGAAAGUAGUGUGGCAUAGGAAGCCUUGGAUGAACCAUGGAAGCUCACGUGGCCCAAGGAAACACCUUGUGAACCCAACAACACUUGAUGAGAAUCCAUUACAGGCUCGUCAAUUUCCUGUUUAGUUUUAAUUUCUCUUCUUCAUUCAUAGUUUCAUUUUCAUACCCCAUUUUCUAAGUUUUAUUAUUCCCAAUAAUUAUGGAAACUUAAUUAUUAUUAUUAGUUCUUCCUUUUUGUGUCACCUUGUAUAUCUGAUGAUGUAUUUGUAUUUUGAUGAUUUGGUUUGAUAUAUAGAUUUAUGAUGAAAAUGGAUCAAUUAUUGAUCUUUUAUGAGUGUAUAUGAUUGUUAUCUAUGAUAAGGAGGAGUUGAAUUUGGUCAAA